AUUGAACGCUGGCGGCAGGCUUAACACAUGCAAGUCGAACGAGUGGCGGACGGGUGAGUAAUGUCUGGGAAACUGCCUGAUGGAGGGGGAUAACUACUGGAAACGGUAGCUAAUACCGCAUACCAUCGGAUGUGCCCAGAUUGGAUUAGCUAGUAGGUGGGGUAAUGGCUCACCUAGGCGACGAUCCCUAGCUGGUCUGAGAGGAUGACCAGCCACACGGGAACUGAGACACGGUCCAGACUCCGACGGGAGGCAGCAGUGGGGAAUAUUGCACAAUGGGCGCAAGCCUGAUGCAGCCAUGCCGCGUGUGUGAAGAAGGCCUUCGGGUUGUAAAGCACUUUCAGCGGGGAGGCGUUACUCGCAGAAGAAGCACCGGCUAACUCCGUGCCAGCAGCCGCGGUAAUUC
rnacentral:rRNA from 1 species